CAUAACAAUUUAUCUAUGUAAAAUAAUAACUCUCUCACUAUAAGUAGUGACAUGAGUUAUAGGUUUAAUAUCACAUCUUCUCAAGACUCAUUGUUAUUCAGCCCAUUUUUUUAGUGACUUAGAUGUUGGAGUGGAGUACUUGCAAAUUAUUUCCACCUUCGUCGUUCAAUCCCUUGGAUGCUGCCGUGCCGGAAUCGAUACUCGAGUGUAUAUAUUCAUUAGCUAGCUACAACGUGAAUAUGCCAUGGAAAUUUAGGACAGGAUUGUUCAAUGAAUCACGUUCAUUUGGAUCUUCUUCCAGUGACCAACCACUAUUCCUACAACUCCACUCUUGUAAGAUUUGAAGGUUGAUGAAAUAUGGGAGAUUUUUUGAUGGGAGGUCGAUUGUCCAAAUGUUAUAACUUACAUAUGGGACAAUGUGCUGUUUAAGAAUGUGGUAAGUUUAUUAGAUAUAGGACAGUAAGAGGAAAAAUGAAAGAAAAGCACUAAGGUUGCCACUUGUAGUUAUCUGAUUCAUGAAUUGAGCGGCGCAGGUAAUUUGGUUGGAUCAAAAGCUUUUUUUUAUAAGGAGAUAUGAUGUUGAAAUCUCAUGUUGACAAUAGAUUCAUAUGCUAUGAAGGUUUGGACAACCUGCUUCUCAUGAGCUAGCUUUAGCUUUUGGGAUUGAAUUGUGUCAAACCAAAAUUCAAGAGACAGAAGAGAUUUUGUGGUGAGAGAUGGGAAAGUAUGCUUAAUGUAAAUUGAUCCCACGUGUAUGGGAUUGAAAUUUUUUUUUUUUUUUUUUGUUUUUAAUU